CCUACGGGAGGCUGCAGUGGGGAAUAUUGGGCAAUGGGCGAAAGCCUGACCCAGCAACGCCGCGUGAAGGAAGAAGGCUUUCGGGUUGUAAACUUCUUUUGACAGGGAAGAGCAGAAGACGGUACCUGUCGAAUAAGCCACGGCUAACUACGUGCCAGCAGCCGCUGUAAGACGUAGGUGGCAAGCGUUGUCCGGAUUUACUGGGUGUAAAGGGCGUGUAGCCGGGCUGACAAGUCAGAUGUGAAAGCCGGGGGCUCAACCCCCGAACUGCAUUUGAAACUGUUGGUCUUGAGUAUCGGAGAGGCAGGCGGAAUUCCUAGUGUAGCGGUGAAAUGCGUAGAUAUUAGGAGGAACACCAGUGGCGAAGGCGGCUUACUGGACUGUAACUGACGUUGAGGCUCGAAAGCGUGGGGAGCAAACAGGAUUAGAUACCCCUGUAGUC
rnacentral:rRNA from 1 species